rnacentral:rRNA from 1 species
UACGUAGGGGGCAAGCGUUGUCCGGAUUUAUUGGGCGUAAAGAGCGUGUAGGCGGCCAGGUAGGUCUGCUGUGAAAACUCGAGGCUCAACUUCGAGCUGUCGGUGGAAACUUUCUGGCUAGAGUCCGGAAGAGGAGAAUGGAAUUCCUGGUGUAGCGGUGAAAUGACGCAGAUAUCAGGAGGAACACCGGUGGCGAAGGCGGGUCUCUGAGCAGUAACUGACGCUGAGGAGCGAAAGCGUGGGAGCGAACAGG